UACGUAGGGUGCAAGCGUUGUCCGGAAUUAUUGGGCGUAAAGAGCUCGUAGGCGGUUUGUCGCGUCGGCUGUGAAAACUCGGGGCUUAACCCCGAGCCUGCAGUCGAUACGGGCAGACUUGAGUUCGGCAGGGGAGACUGGAAUUCCUGGUGUAGCGGUGAAAUGCGCAGAUAUCAGGAGGAACACCAAUGGCGAAGGCAGCACUCUGGGACGUGACUGACGCUGAGACGCGAAAGCGUGGGGAGCAAACAGG
rnacentral:rRNA from 1 species